CCAAUAGCGUAUAUUAAAGUUGUUGCAGUUAAAAAGCUCGUAGUUGAAUUUCGGGAUCAGAUUGUCGGUCGUGCCUCGGUACGCACUGGCAUUAUUGGUUCCUACCUUCUGAAGAACCGCGAUGUCAUUAAUUUGGUGUCGUGGGGAAUCAGGACUGUUACUUUGAAAAAAUUAGAGUGUUUAAAGCAGGCGCACGCUUGAAUACAUUAGCAUGGAAUAAUGAAAUAGGACGUUUGAUUCUAUUUUGUUGGUUUCUAGGAUUGACGUAAUGAUUAAUAGGGAUAGUUGGGGGCAUUAGUAUUCAAUUGUCAGAGGUGAAAUUCUUGGAUUUAUUGAAGACUAACUACUGCGAAAGCAUUUGCCAAGGAUGUUUUCAUUAAUCAAGAACGAAAGUUAGGGGAUCGAAGACGAUCAGAUACUGUCGUAGUCUUAACCAUAAACUAUGCCGACUAGGGAUCGGAUGAUGUUAAUUUUUUAAUGACUCAUUCGGCGCCUUAC
rnacentral:rRNA from 1 species